AUUGAACGCUGGCGGCAGGCCUAACACAUGCAAGUCGAGCGGAUGAAGGGAGCUUGCUCCUGGAUUCAGCGGCGGACGGGUGAGUAAUGCCUAGGAAUCUGCCUGGUAGUGGGGGAUAACGUCCGGAAACGGGCGCUAAUACCGCAUACGUCCUGAGGGAGAAAGUGGGGGAUCCUCGGACCUCACGCUAUCAGAUGAGCCUAGGUCGGAUUAGCUAGUUGGUGGGGUAAAGGCCUACCAAGGCGACGAUCCGUAACUGGUCUGAGAGGAUGAUCAGUCACACUGGAACUGAGACACGGUCCAGACUCCUACGGGAGGCAGCAGUGGGGAAUAUUGGACAAUGGGCGAAAGCCUGAUCCAGCCAUGCCGCGUGUGUGAAGAAGGUCUUCGGAUUGUAAAGCACUUUAAGUUGGGAGGAAGGGCAGUAAGUUAAUGCCUUGCUGUCUUGACGUUACCAACAGAAUAAGCACCGGCUAACUUCGUG
rnacentral:rRNA from 1 species